rnacentral:misc_RNA from 1 species
AAAAAUCCCGCGUGAGGGAUUGAGGCGGCAUCUCCCGCUAGGGUGGGAAUAUAGCCGAAAGCCCGACCCAGA